rnacentral:rRNA from 1 species
AUGGCUUCAAGUGCUCACUGCUCCCAGCAUUGUUGGAGGCCAGGGAGCUUUCGGUGGGGGAUUUUACCUGAGCUUGUAGGGAGUGUAAUUAGUAGCGAUCAGUCGAACGACCUUGUGAGGAUGUUUAUAGAACCUUUGGUGGAAUUCUUGGUGCUCCCAUACGGAAUUGAAUCGAGAGGCAGGCAAAAAAACAUGAAGGGUGGGGAAUUUUGUUGGCCUUGUGGUUGUGGAUUGGUAGCUGUUGUGGUUUACAGAAUGCUCACAGACUCUUUUUACUCCUCUCGAACUGCAGAGGAAGUUCCAAAUUUCCCAUGCAUGAUCUAUCAACCACAUUUGACAUUUGGUUUCUCUUUUCCAAUCUAA